CAAUCGGCCCUUUUCAGGGCCACCAAACACUCUGUAAAGACUACUCU
rfam:Trachymyrmex cornetzi contig46942, whole genome shotgun sequence.